UCCCCGGUGGCCUAACAGUUAAGGAUCUGGCAUUGUCACUGCUGUGGCACAGGUUCAAUCCCUGCCCUGGGAG
rfam:Sus scrofa chromosome 8.